UAAUAAUAGUAGUUAAUUGUACUGUGGAUUAGUAAAGUUUGUGUUUUGGUGUUUCAGUGCACCAGACACUGCAGGGACACUAAACAAAAAGCUUUCCAGUUCUUAUAAUCUAAAUGAGUGAUGAGGUUCUGUAAAGGUAAACUGGUUUGGCUUGCUUUCCUGAUGAAAGAGGUGAGUGGGGAGUGGGGACCCAAUGAUGAAAUUACAAGUCAAGUCAGGGUAAAGUGAGCUGUUUAACCUAGUUUUGUGAUCGAUUUGCAGAAAUGUAGCAUUACAUCACUUGCUCAGCAAUGGGUCCUCUGCAGUGAAUGGGUGCCGUCAGAAUGAGAGUCCAAACAGCUGAUAAAAACAUCACAAUAAUCCACAAGUAAUCCAAUAUUAUAAAUUAUGGACGCACAUUUUAGCUGGAAGAAACAGUCUUAAGUUGAAAACACUUUAAUGAUGGAUUUGUUUCUUACAUACAGCUUUUCACUUCACAAGACAUUAAUUGAUGGACUGGUCUGGUGUGGACUACUGUAAAGUGUUACUAAGUUGCUCACAGUAUUUUUUCCUCAAUGAAUCACAUGAUCAGCUUAAUACCGCUGACUUUAUCUUGGUAACUUGGUGACAGAGUAAGUCAAAGACCACAGUUUUAUUUUGUUUUAUAUUGCAUUAUUUAAAAGUAUAUGUUAUUGAUUUUAGAGCUGGAUUCCAGUGUUCUUUAAAAAGAGAGUGUGCAUUUGUGACAUAUGUGGAGGACUCUUUCAUGUAAGAUGACUUUUGACUUUUAGUGAGUAUUCAGUACCUCUUUGUCAGAGCACAGAUCCUCCGAGGUUUAUUUAUUUAUUUAUUAUUAUUAUUAUUUUUUUUGUAGCAAUGGCAGUCUGUGUCAGUGUGGGGCCACAAGAGAAUUCUACCCCUCAGCACAGCCAUUGUCAGUCACUGGGACAGCACACAGCCCUUCUCUGAGCAGCCCACAGAUGGAGAACUGGAGCAAGAGACACAGCUGCAUUAGAUACAUCUCUGAUGAAUUCAAUGCCCUGAUUAGUCCUGGCUGGUUCGGGUGGGCUUGCCAAUCUUGUGAGUGACAUUGUGGACAACGUGCAGUCUGCUUCGGUGCCUGUACUUGGAGCAGAGAAGAAGGAAGCCACUCCCAAUGUGGAGCUUAGAGAACGAAUAGCCAUGAAAGUAAAAAAAUACUUUCCUUCAGAGCGAGACAUGGACAAGCUUGUUGACAAGGUGAACGUCACACUCUUUACUUAAUCAUGUAACACCAUCAAAGUGGGCUAUUUUGUGUCAGAACUUAAGAAACCUCCCCAGCUCAAAUUUUGGAUUUUUUAAAGCAUUUUUCUGAAGAAAGACAAACAUAA
rnacentral:lncRNA from 12 species